AGCAAGGGCCCGUACCGUAAACCGACACAGGUGGAUGAGGAGAGGAUCCUAAGGCCGGCGGGAGAAGUGUUGUUAAGGAACUCGGCAAAAUGACUCCGUAACUUCGGGAGAAGGAGUGCUGCGCAAGCAGCCGCAGAGAAAUGGCCCAAGCAACUGUUUAGCAAAAACACAGGUCUAUGCGAAACCGAAAGGUGAGGUAUAUGGGCUGACGCCUGCCCGGUGCUGGAAGGUUAAGGGGAGAGCUUAGCGCAAGCGAAGGUUUGAACUUAAGCCCCAGUAAACGGCGGCCGUAACGAUAACGGUCCUAAGGUAGCGAAAUUCCUUGUCGGGUAAGUUCCGACCCGCACGAAAGGCGUAAUGAUUUGGGCACUGUCUCAACAACACACCCGGUGAAAUUGAAAUACCAGUGAAGAUGCUGGUUACCCGCGCCAGGACGGAAAGACCCCAUGGAGCUUUACUCCAGCCUGAUACUGGGAUUCGGUAUUGCAUGUACAGGAUAGGUGGGAGGCUAAGAACUUAUGGCGCCAGCCGUGAGGGAGCCGAUGUUGGGAUACCACCCCUGCAGUACUGGGUUUCUAACCUGCGCCCGUGACCCGGGCGGGGGACAAUGUCAGGCGGGGAGUUUGACUGGGGCGGUCGCCUCCGAAAGGGUAUCGGAGGCGCUCAAAGGUCUCCUCAGGAUGGUUGGAAACCAUCCAGAGAGUGCAAAGGCAGAAGGAGGCUUGACUGCGACACCGACGGGUGGAGCAGGUACGAAAGUAGGACUUAGUGAUCCGGUGGCAUAAAGUGGGAUUGCCAUCGCUCAACGGAUAAAAGCUACCCUGGAUAACAGGCUUAUCACUCCCAAGAGUUCACAUCGACGGAGUGGUUUGGCACCUCGAUGUCGGCUCAUCGCAUCCUGGAGCUGGAGCAGGUUCCAAGGGUUGGGCUGUUCGCCCAUUAAAGCGGUACGCGAGCUGGGUUCAGAACGUCGUGAGACAGUUCGGUCCCUAUCCGGCGCGGGCGCAGGAUAUCUGAGAGGAGCUGUCCUUAGUACGAGAGGACCGGGAUGGACCGUCCGCUGGUGGACCGGUUGUCAUGCCAAUGGCACGGCCGGGUAGCCAAGACGGGAAGGGAUAAACGCUGAAGGCAUCUAAGCGUGAAGCCCCCCUCAAAAUGAGAUAUCCAUACUCGAAAGAGUGAGAGACCCCUUAGAGACGAUGAGGUAGAUAGGGCAGAGAUGGAAGCACAGCGAUGUGUGGAGUUGACUGUUACUAAUCGGUCGAUAGCUC
rnacentral:rRNA from 1 species